AUCCAGCUGACGAGUCCUGAAUAGGACAAAACGCACGUCCUGGAU
rnacentral:hammerhead_ribozyme from 1 species